CGGAUGACGCAGGAGUACGACCCGAAAUUUCAAUUUCCGCAACACUUAACACACUCAAUAGACAUGGGUAAAGUGUGAAAACUGCCUAUUGAAGAGAGAGCGUGUGUGUGUGAGUGUGUAUGUGUGUGUGAGUGUGUGGAAGCGGAGCAGGAGAGGAGGGCCGGUGGGGGUUGUUGAGAGCGGAGAAAGGGAGAGAGAGGCAGAGGGGGAAAGAGGAGGAAUCGGACAGCCAUUAUAGCAUUCAGGAUUACGUUGCUUUGCUGUUCUUUGCGUCAUCGCCUCCCCCUCCUCCCCUCACGGCUGUGUGUCGGCUCGGUUCUUUAGGAAAAAAAAACCCGAUCGGUGGAAGCCGAAAAAAUCCUUCCGUCCAGCCAUCCAGGAGGAGAGGGAGCGGCGGCGGCAGCAGCAUCCCCGGCCUCCCUCGCUCUGUGCUCGGAUCUCAGGAUCCGCUGCUGCCCGGUGAAGCUUCCCGGGAACGAGAUGGAGUCCUCGGAUGACGAUACUCUAAGCGAGCGCUCCUGCGUCAGUGAGCCGUCCUUCCGUAGUGAGCGUUCGGGGGGGUCGCUGUCCCCGUGCCGGUCGGGCACCGCGGGGCCGCCGGGAGACACACUGCCGUGGAACCUGUCCAAACACGAGCGGAGGAAGAGGAAGAGCCAGGACUCGGUGCUGGACCCGGCAGAGAGGGCGGUGGUUCGCGUGGCAGGUAAAACAUUUCUUCUCCUCUUCCUCUCAGUAUUCAUCUCUGCUGAAACUACUGGCUGUUUUACAUCCUUCAUUUCUUUCGGAGCAGUCUGUGUCGGUCAUUCAAUCGAGUGGCUCGACGGUGUCGUUGUUUUUCUUCCUGUCUGGAUAAUGUGUGUGUCCCCCACACACUCGCUUGCUGUGUGCUGUGUCUCAAUCGCAUAUAUUCCCAGAGUACACUGAUGUGGUUUAGUUGUUUUAAAGUGAACUGGUAACUCCUCUGGACCAGUUCACGGAGCGUUGCUAAACCCCGUCUCUUCUUUUUUUUAAUCCUGAGGAAAAACACACCGGCAGCUAGCUGCUGUCCCGUCGCUAUGGUUACCAGUCACAGCACCGCAGUCCUCUGGCCUGAGGAAGUGUGUGUGUGUGUGUGUGUGUUCAGGGCUGCCUUUGAUGAAGCGGGCUGCUGUUGACGGGGUCGUGUGAAAGAGGAGACUCCCAGUAGAGCGUUCAGGAUCGCUGAACAGUUUUCAACAGUUCUUAUUCUUUUUUUUAUUCAGGAUUUGUCAACUUAAGAGUUGUUGAACCGAGCGUGUUGGCUUUGAACUGCAGUCUUCGUCUGCUCGGGAUUUGACAGUUUGGUUUUCAUAUCAAGUUUUGCAUACAUGUCGCAUUUCUAGAAACUGUUUUCAUAUGAGAGAUCGAUCGAUCGAUCGAUCGAUCACAGCCCCCCCUAUUUUCCCUCCCUCUACAAUGCCAUUGGUGUGUGAGGAAACAAAUACAUGGAGGCUAAUUGGAAGCUAUCGCCCUUUGAACUUUGGGGGGUCAGGUCAUUAUCUGGGGUCAUCUCAAAUCCUCCUCACACACACACACUUGACUUAUCUGCCCUCCUAUCGGUCAUUAUCAGUCAUUACUCUUGUUAAAUAGCUCUUCAUGACCGAAUUUCUGCUGUGUGUGUGUGUGUGUGUGUGUGUGUGUGUGUGUGUGUGUGUGUGUGUGUGUGUACUGAGAAAUGUUUGGAUGUGUGACGGGUAAUAUUUGGGGGUCAAACUGUUUGUCUUUGACAAAGAGAGAGAGAAGUUUGUUUCAACUAAAGAACAAGUUGUUUCUUCUUGAAUCACUUUCUGUCAGAAUACAGCACAGCUGAAUGCAACAGUUAGAUAAUAUAGACCUGAAUGGAGAAGAAGAUUUCUUUCCGGAUGAAAUGAUGAGCUGAGAGAGUAUGUCUGUCAAAGGGUUAUUACAAAGUUUAAUUGCAUAAAAUAAAAACUUCACUUAUGUAGUGCUAACUUUUGAAUUAUUAGGUCCAAAUGAAAAGUUGCACAUCCGCCAUUUUUUCCGCAGCUUUUCAUCACAUUUUUAGUUAUUCUUUCUGUAAAAAUAAUUUAUGAAUUGAGUCUCAGCAGCAGCUAUGAAAAUGAUUGUUGUGUCGUGAUAAAUGACAGCUGUGUAUCAUCCAACAUGAUUCAUUGGCUUUGUGUCGGUUGAGUGAGUGGCAAACACACUCGGCACUAUGUCGGGUGAUUUCCUGCUGCAGCAGUUCCUGUUUGUCCUGAGCGUCAGUGUGAUCCUGGACCAGGUUCUGGGUUCUCUCAGCGUUCUGGUCCCAGUGCCCUGGUGUGACCUCCAGCAAGAGUCCGUGUACAUCUCUACAAUCCUCCUGAUGUACACACACUGCUCCUCUCCAAACCAUUGACACUAUCUAAGUCUCACAAGUGGCCCUGGAGUCCUGAAGUGAAGGAAGCCAUCACCAUGUGUUUGGAAACAACGACCUGCCGGUUGCCAUGGCACGAGACCUCAUAUGGCCUCAGUGCUGCGUGUGUUUGUGUCCGGUACAUGUGUACCAAGGCCGAGUACAAGACUGACUGAUCCUGGUUCAGUCAGUCUAUUUGACUCGUGUGGUCCCCACACAGGUGCUGAAAGGAUCAGAGCAUGAAUGGAAUAGUUGAUUUGUGGACAUUUGUCAUUUUAAUAACUAACUUUUAUGUUGUGUGAAGCAAAAAAUGUGGUUUAUUUGUGGUUCCAGCUCGGGGAAAUUGUGAUGGGCUUUACAUUUUUUGUUUGUUUAAAUAUGUAUUAAUUCCAAUAAAUAAGUGUGUGAUUAAUCACUGAAACUAAUGUUGAGUUGCCGCCCUAGUAGAGAAAUGUGAGAUUACAAGAUGAUAGAAGUAAUAUAUACUCUGUGUUAUGUACAGCAGGUGUUCUCAUCUUUUUGGACUUAAUCCUCCAAACGUACAGAAAACAUGCAGAGGCGUACUGUUGAAAUAUAUCAAAUAGACAUUAAAAAAAAAAACUCACGCAUGAGAUGAUCUGUCAUCAUGGAGACCAAGGCUGUGCUGUCAAACCAUGAAAAAAGCAGAGGGGUGUGUGUGUGUGUGUGUGUGUGUGUGUGUGUGUGUGUGUG